rnacentral:rRNA from 1 species
CCUACGGGAGGCAGCAGUGGGGGAUAUUGCACAAUGGGGGGAACCCUGAUGCAGCGACGCCGCGUGGGUGAAGGAGCGUUUCGGCGCGUAAAGCCCUAUCGGCAGGGAAGAAGGAGGACGGUACCUGCCUAAGAAGCCCCGGCUAACUACGGGCCAGCAGCCGCGGUAAUAGGUAGGGGGCAAGCGUUAGCCGGAUUUACUGGGUGGAAAGGGGGAGCAGACGGCAGCGCAAGCCAGGGGUGAGAGCCCGGGGCCCAACCCCGGGACUGCUCUUGAAACUGGGCGGCUGGAGUGCAGGAGGGGCAGGCGGAAUUCCUGGUGUAGCGGUGAAAUGCGUAGAUAUCAGGAGGAACACCGGUGGCGAAGGCGGCCUGCUGGACUGCGACUGACGUUGAGGCUCGAAAGCGUGGGGAGCAAACAGGAUUAGAUACCCGGGUAGUC